rnacentral:rRNA from 1 species
CCUANGGGAGGCUGCAGUGGGGAAUAUUGGACAAUGGGGGCAACCCUGAUCCAGCCAUGCCGCGUGAGUGAUGAAGGCCUUCGGGUUGUAAAGCUCUUUUGGCGGGGACGAUGAUGACGGUACCCGCAGAAUAAGCCCCGGCUAACUUCGUGCCAGCAGCCGCGGUAAGACGAAGGGGGCUAGCGUUGUUCGGAAUUACUGGGCGUAAAGCGAGUGUAGGUGGCUAUCCAAGUUGGAUGUGAAAGCCUUGGGCUUAACCCAAGAAAUGCAUUCAGGACUGGAUGGCUAGAGGACCGGAGAGGAUAGUGGAAUUCCCAGUGUAGUGGUGAAAUACGUAGAGAUUGGGAAGAACACCAGUGGCGAAGGCGGCUAUCUGGACGGUUUCUGACACUAAGACUCGAAAGCGUGGGGAGCAAACAGGAUUAGAUACCCGUNUANUC